AAGGCCCUCCAUCGUGAUUACAAAGAACCUUGUAGGAUCCUGCUUUUGAGUAAACCCUUUUGAAUCAUGAGCAGGGCUUGAAAAUCUGGAAAUGUGAAAUACUUGAUCUUAUUCUGCUCACCUGCAGGGUCUUCAUUUGUCUUGCUUUCAGAGAAAUCUCCAUGACCAAGAGAGCUGCUAGAAAGAAAUCUUUCAUUAACAGCUGAUUGCCUCCUUCAAAAGUUGCUUUUAAACAUAAGCCGCCCUGAAUCACUUUAGAGUUGGAUGGCCCCUCCUUCUUGUAAAUGGAUGGAUGGAUGGUUGAGAGGCAGUGUAAUAUGGUUGCAGAAAAGGCAAAUCCACAGGAUGCUCCACUUUCUCCUGGUUAGGUCAGAUUCCACCAUGAAUACUGGAUUCCACAUUUUAUGAAAGAUUCAGAAAAAUUCAAACCGUUUCUGAGAAGAAAAACAAGGAUAAUCCAGAGAAUAAAAUUUCCCUUGAAGAUAGAUUGAAGAAGAGUCUCAACAUCUUUUUUACAUCGUGGAGACCAAAACUGGAUGCAAUAUUCCAAGUGUGGCCUUACCAAGGCAUUAUAAAGUGGCACUAACACUUCACGUGAUCUUGAUUCCUGCCAGCUUAGUAUCAUCUGCAAAUUUGAACCUCAAGAGAAAUGCAAAUGGGAAGAAGAAGCCUAACAGAUUUCAAAGCAAAACGUUGAUCCUAGUUGGGCAAGUGGACACAAUGCUGGAGAUCCGAAUCUUAUCUGUUUCCCAAGAUGGUUGUCAGCAUCACAUCAGAAGGAACCUUUGAUGGAAGGCCUUUCCCAAGAGACUUAAGGAGGCUUGAAGCUGAUUUAUGUAAGUUGAAAUGCCUCGCCAAUGUCUACGUGGGACUUUUGCUCUAGUCUUUCAGGGAUCCCAGAAACAAGAUUGUACUUUAAUUGCUUCUCUUUCCUAAGACUUCCCCACAGGAUGUCAUAAAAAAGAUGGCAACC